GACGAACGCUGGCGGCGUGCUUAACACAUGCAAGUCGAACGGCAAGGCCUGCUUUCCCUUGUGGAUUGCGGGUACUCGAGUGGCGAACGGGUGAGUAACACGUGAGUGAUCUGCCCCCAACUUGGGUAUAAGCCUGGGAAACUGGGUCUAAUUCUCGAUAGGACUGCAGGGUGGUGCCUGUGGUGGAAAACGAUUUUCUAGUGGUUGGGGAUGAGCUCGCGGCCUAUCAGCUUGUUGGUGGGGUAAUGGCCUACCAAGGCGGCGACGGGUAGCCGGCCUGAGAGGGUGGACGGCCACAUUGGGACUGAGAUAAGGCCCAGACGCCUACGGGAGGCAGCAGUGGGGAAUAUUGCACAAUGGGCGGAAGCCUGAUGCAGCGACGCCGCGUGGGGGAUGACGGCCUUCGGGUUGUAAACUCCUUUGGACCGAGAGGAAGCCACCUGGUUGGAAGGGUGGUGACGGUAGUGGUAGAAGAAGCACCGGCUAACUACGUG
rnacentral:rRNA from 1 species